UACGGGGGGUCCAAGCGUUGUCCGGAUUUACUGGGCGUAAAGGGCGCGUAGGCGGGACGAUCAGUCGAGGGUGAAAAUUGCGGGCUUAACCUGCAAAUUGCCUUUGAUACUGUCGUUCUUGAGUGAAGAAGGGGAAAGCGGAAUACCUGGUGUAGCGGUGGAAUGCGCAGAUAUCAGGUAGAACACCGGUGGCGAAGGCGGCUUUCUGGUCUUACACUGACGCUGAGGCGCGAAAGCGUGGGGAGCAAACAGG
rnacentral:rRNA from 1 species